UCCUGCUACAGGCAGCAUUUCUUCCCACAGAAAAGUUCAAGCCAGUGGAUUCUCCUGCAGGUUUGUUUGAUGAUGAGAUGACGGCAGCAAGGAAAGAUGUACAAUUAACUUGCUGGAAAUGCGCUGAGGCAUAAAAACCUGAGGAGAGGUAAAGUCAGCCUGAGCUGACAAGCCCCGGCCGGCCCACUCAGCAGCAGCAGCAGCAGCAGCAGCACUGGAGGUCCGUACAGGACAGCUUCACACCUCCACCAGUGUAAAGGCCCCAUCUACGGCUCCCUAUAGAGGCAUCUCUGAUUGGUUCAUCCAUAUAAUCAAUGGGGUCAAGGCUGAAGUCUAUCUAAUAAAGCUUCCUUGAAUGAACUGUUCUUGUGGUAAAUCUGGGUAGGCCACUUUCAACUACCACAAAAUGCCAGAAGAAGAAGAAGAAGAAGAUGGAGAAGGAAGUGGUUUCUGCACAACAUAGGACAACUAAGAACGAAUAUAGUGACUAUCAUCUGCAAUUAUAACAAGGUUAAAAUAAAAGAAGUGCUGCUAACUGAUGUAUUUAUAGUAGGUUUCUCAGAAGACACCAAGAUUACAUCAGUGGUUUGUGUUUUGUUUUCACCUUUGCAUCAUCUGACUGAAAACUAGAUAACAAUCUCUAAUGCUUCACUGAUUUUUAAGUAUUGGAUAGUUAUCUAAACUAUACGUAAGACAUGAAGUAUCUAGGUUUGAAAGAGGCUUUUGAUUUGACGCAAAAUCAACAUAUGAUGUGUUUUCCAUUUGAUAAUACAUCAAAAUAUAGGUCUGUUUAUCCUUAUUUUACAUGUAUUACUUAUGCAAACCAUCCUUUAAC